CGUCCCGUCCGUCAGUCUUUGGUCGGUGUGCCACCGCUGCCGAGGAGCGCGCGCGAUUUCCAUUAUAAUAUUUUUUUCUUGUUUCUAUCCCCGUCCGAUUUUAUUCGCCCGCGUCGCGCGACCAGUUCACGUCCGUCGACCGUCUGGUCUUGUCCGUCGAUCGUGUUAUCGCCGUCGCCAUUAGCCGGCUGUGUACAAAAUCGUUUCGUUUUUCUCGAUCGGGAGUUUUGGUUUUUUUUUUCUAAUUCCAUCGCCGGGUUUUUUGUUAUAUUUCACUUUCCGUACCCAACGACUGUCCGUUAAGAAUAAGUGCCGGCGAACGACAGAAAACCCUCUGCGAACUUUUGGCAAAUUACAUUUUGUAUGAAUUGAGAAAAAUCAAAUUUUAGUUAUCAUAUGACGUAGGUA